CGGGUGAGUAACACGUAUCCAACCUGCCGUCUACUCUUGGACAGCCUUCUGAAAGGAAGAUUAAUACAAGAUGGCAUCAUGAGUCCGCAUGUUCACAUGAUUAAAGAUAUUCCGGUAGACGAUGGGGAUGCGUUCCAUUAGAUGGUAGGCGGGGUAACGGCCCACCUAGUCUUCGAUGGAUAGGGGUUCUGAGAGGAAGGUCCCCCACAUUGGAACUGAGACACGGUCCAA
rnacentral:rRNA from 1 species